UGGGGAAUUUUGCACAAUGGGGGAAACCCUGAUGCAGCGACGCCGCGUGAUUUAGAAGGCCUUCGGGUUGUAAAAAUCUUUUGUAUAGGAAGAAAAUGACAGUACUAUACGAACAAGGUCCGGCUAAAUACGUGCCAGCAGCCGCGGUAAUACGUAUGGACCGAGCGUUAUCCGGAAUCAUUGGGCGUAAAGGGUACGUAGGCGGUUAAAUAAGUUAGAAGUGAAAUCCCAUAGCUCAACUAUAGUAAGCUUCUAAAACUGUAUAACUUGAGAAAUGAAAGGGAAAGUGGAAUUCCUAGUGUAGCGGUGAAAUGCGCAGAUAUUAGGAGGAAUACCGGUGGCGAAGGCGACUUUCUGGUCAUAUUCUGACGCUGAGGUACGAAAGCGUGGGUAGCAAACAGG
rnacentral:rRNA from 1 species